AUUGAACGCUGGCGGCAGGCCUAACACAUGCAAGUCGAGCGGAGCGGCGGACGGGUGAGUAAUGCCUAGGAAUCUGCCUGGUAGUGGGGGAUAACGUCCGGAAACGGGCGCUAAUACCGCAUACUAUCAGAUGAGCCUAGGUCGGCUUAGCUAGUUGGGGGGGUAAAUGCCUACCAAGGUGACGAUCCGGAACUGGUCGGAGAGGAUGAUCAGUCACACUGGAACUGGGACACGGUCCAUACUACUACGGGAGGCAGCAGUGGGGACUAUUGGACAAUGGGCGAAAGCCGGAUCCAGCCAUGCCGCGUGUGUGAAGAAGGUCUUCGGAGUGUAAAGCACUUUAAGUUGGGAGACGUUACCAACAGAAUAAGCACCGGCUAACUUCGUGCCAGCAGCGGCGGUAAUUC
rnacentral:rRNA from 1 species